UGAGGAUGAGGAGGAUGAUGAUGAUGAUGAUGAUGAUGAUGAUGAUGAUCAUCAUCAUCAUCAUCAUCAUCAUCAUCAUCAUCAUCAUCAUCAUCA
rnacentral:pre_miRNA from 1 species